UCUGUCAAAGAGUUAUGAAAA
rnacentral:piRNA from 1 species